rnacentral:lncRNA from 1 species
GGACUCAAACAUUGCUCUGCAAUAUUUGCUUAUUUGCAGUUUCCAAGACCAGUGAGAAUACGGAGGUGUUUAUUCUUCAGGCAUUCAUCCCUCAAGCUUUCCUGAUCUUCUCGAUAACAGCCUCCCAUGUAGAAACAGAGACUCCCAGAACACUGACCUCUCACCUAGCACAAUGUCUGGCCUGUAUUCCUCAUGACUGGUUGAUUGAAUGGCAGAGACCCAGUUUGGCAAGGAGAAGGAAUUCAGUGUUGGUGAGGCAGAGGAACUUGAGAGAAGAUUAAGUGACUCAUUCCAGAGUGUCAAAAACAAACAACAAUAAUGAUGGGGUUGGUCAUUUUACACCAAGUGUGUGAGUAACAAGCUUGAUUUCUUUCUUUUCAAAUUAUAUGGCAGCUCCUAAGAAUAAUGAGCUUUUAGUUUUUUUAUUUCAUUUAUAAGAGAGGGGUGGUGUCAUAAAGCCCACUUCUACCAUACUUUGGGGUAUGUGUUAGAGUGGAUAGUACCUUAUAUAACCAUUAUCAUCAUCAUAAUUUCCUAAUGUAUCCUUUGGGUGCACUUCACUGUACUUGAUGUUUCGAAUCCGCAUUAUGUACUCACAUCUCUCAAAGUCAAAAGCUGUCCAAAUUGCUAUUUCCAUUUGCUAUAGAAUGUGUUCAUUUUCUUUUCUCAAGAGACUAAGAAAGCACUAUAAAAUGUGAGGGGAAAUGCUUUAUGGACCCAUGGUAAGCCAUUAAAACUCAAGAUGAGAAAGAUUUCAUUGUAAUAUUUAUAGAAAAUGAAAAUGCAAUUCUUGAUCUAACUCAAAUUACUCUUGAUUUUAUGUAGCUGGUAUGGUUUUGAGACUGCUCUUCUAAGGCCUAAUAUAAUAAUCUGCUCACCCAGAAUUCCCCAAAAAGAAAAAUUCCCAAAAUGGCAUUCUUUUUGAGAGAAAUUGUAGGCAGGAAGGGGAUGGAUGGCAUGUCUGGGGAGUUUCAAAAACAAUUGCUUCCACUUGGAUGCAAAUCUAUUGACAAUUCAUUAUGACAAAUUGAGACACUUAGAAUUAGCCAUCUAAUUCCAUUACCACUAGUGCCUUGGCCUUUUAGUUCACAGUUAAAACAUUGUAAUUUCCCCUCCUUAGAAAUGGAAAUGUGCUACCCAUUUAAAAAAGCAUAGCAAGAAGGACCUCCAUCUUCUUUUUUUACUUCUUAACUUGGCUCUAGAGUAUUUUUACUUUUAGUUGCACAUUCUUAUAUGCAAUGUUGAGAUGACAGGACCUUGCAUGGGGUGAGUAUGUAUUUU